CCUACGGGUGGCAGCAGUGAGGAAUAUUGGUCAAUGGGCGGGAGCCUGAACCAGCCACGCCGCGUGAGGGAAGAAGGUACUGCGUAUCGUAAACCUCUUUUGUCAGGGAACAAAGGCGGGGACUAGUCCCCGGAUGUGGGUACCUGAAGAAAAAGCAUCGGCUAACUCCGUGCCAGCAGCCGCGGUAAUACGGAGGAUCCGAGCGUUAUCCGGAUUUAUUGGGUUUAAAGGGUGCGCAGGCGGCCUGUUAAGUCAGCGGUAAAAGCCCGGGGCUCAACCGCGGAGAGCAGUUGAAACUGGCAGGCUGGAGUAGGAGAGAGGUACGCGGAAUGCGCGGUGUAGCGGUGAAAUGCUUAGAUAUCGCGAAGAACACCGAUUGCGAAGGCAGCGUACUGGAUCGACACUGACGCUGAGGCACGAAAGCGUGGGUAUCGAACAGGAUUAGAUACCCGUGUAGUC
rnacentral:rRNA from 1 species